AUGCAGCGAGCCUGGGCGCCGCCGGCGCUCACCUAUCACCGCGCCCACCACAUCGUUCUUCACCCCGAAGCAGAGCGGCGGUUCGCGGCGGCCGGCGGCCGUAGCCUCGGCGGCCCCGGCGGGCUCUCUCCAGCCGCCGCCCGCACCCCUGCUACCGACCCGGCCUCUCCGGUUCGUCUCCUCCGUCGCUGUCCGGUCGGCGCCCCGGGACCCGGUCGAGCUUCGCCGGGGAGCAACGCCCGAGGAGGAAGCGUUGGCUGCGGGUUCCCGCCUAGACAUGGCUCUGAGGAGAGCCGCGCGUCGCACGUCGUUCCAGACUCAGCUGCACAGGCCGCGGCGUCGGAAAAACUCCGCUGCCGCCCGCGAGCUCGCCCGCCAGUCCUCUGCGCGCUCAUUGGCCGCCGCGCUUCGGGGGCGGGGCCUGGCUGGCCUGACCAAUCGGCGCUUGCAACCGAGCGGCCACCUGGACCCCUAUUUGCCCGGCUAGUGUCUGGCUGGGAACAUCAGCUUGAGGACAGUGCGUCUCCGUGCCACGGAAACGAUCCCAACCGUGCCUCGAAAUUCAGGUUCAUGACGGGCUAAUGUACAGGCUUGAGAUCUGGGGCAGGAGGGUCUGCGUGACAAUUACUUUCAGGCUCUAUCUUAAAAUAACUCGAUGAAAGCGCUUGCCUAAGCGCAGGAUACCCUAUCUACACUCCCCAAUACCUAAAGUUAAAAAAAAAAAAAAAAUAGCACUGCCUGAAGCACACCCAGCUUUGCAAGGAUUUUGGAGCUGGACACAGUCCUCCAGGCCUGGCCUAAGCUCCAGCAUCCUUUGCUGGGAUUGGGAUCCUCGAAUUGUCAGACUAGAUCACAGGUCAACCAUCCAUCAAACAGAGGACACGCAGAAUCUUAGCAUUGAAUGUCUUGUAGGAGACACUGAGGAAAAACUGGAAGGUUGGGUCCAUCCUGGGUUAAAUAAAUUACAUCAAAUUAUAUUAUAUAAUACUAUGUAUACUAAUAUCUUUGAAGAUAGCCUUAAUUCUCCUGCCUGGGAGUGGGCACUCAAGUGCUGGGCUUAUAGAUGAAUUUCAUGACACACAGAUGUAGCAACAGUAUCUCUUGAUACAAUACUCUCUGGGGGAAUGUGAAUAAAACACCAAACUAUCAAAGCAUCUUGGACUUACACAGAAACAUCGAGCAAAAUAAAAAAUAAGCCAAUCAC
ensembl:antisense 4930542C12Rik RIKEN cDNA 4930542C12 gene